CACCGGCGGCUCGAGUGGUGGCCACUUUUAUUGGGUCUAAAGCGUCCGUAGCCGGCUUGGCAAGUCCCCUGGGGAAUCUGGCGGCUUAACCGUCAGGCGUCCAGAGGAUACUGCCAGGCUUGGGACCGGGAGAGGUGAGAGGUACCUCAGGGGUAGGGGUGAAAUCUUGUGAUCCCUGAGGGACCACCAGUGGCGAAGGCGUCUCACUAGAACGGGUCCGACGGUCAGGGACGAAAGCUGGGGGCACGAACCGG
rnacentral:rRNA from 1 species